UCCUGGCUCAGAUUGAACGCUGGCGGCAUGCUUUACACAUGCAAGUCGAACGGCAGCGGGGGCUUCGGCCUGCCGGCGAGUGGCGAACGGGUGAGUAAUGCAUCGGAACGUGCCCAUGUCGUGGGGGAUAACGUAUCGAAAGGUACGCUAAUACCGCAUACGUCCUGAGGGAGAAAGCGGGGGACUCGCAAGAGCCUCGCGCGAUUGGAGCGGCCGAUGUCGGAUUAGCUAGUUGGUGAGGUAAAGGCUCACCAAGGCGACGAUCCGUAGCGGGUCUGAGAGGAUGAUCCGCCACACUGGGACUGAGACACGGCCCAGACUCCUACGGGAGGCAGCAGUGGGGAAUUUUGGACAAUGGGCGCAAGCCUGAUCCAGCCAUGCCGCGUGAGUGAAGAAGGCCUUCGGGUUGUAAAGCUCUUUCGGCCGGGAAGAAAUCGUGUUCUCUAACAUAGGACAUGGAUGACGGUACCGGACUAAGAAGCACCGGCUAACUACGUGCCAGCAGCCGCGGUAAUACGUAGGGUGCGAGCGUUAAUCGGAAUUACUGGGCGUAAAGCGUGCGCAGGCGGUUUUGUAAGACAGAUGUGAAAUCCCCGGGCUUAACCUGGGAACUGCGUUUGUGACUGCAAGGCUGGAGUACGGCAGAGGGGGGUGGAAUUCCACGUGUAGCAGUGAACUGCGUAGAGAUGUGGAGGAACACCGAUGGCGAAGGCAGCCCCCUGGGCCUGUACUACG
rnacentral:rRNA from 1 species